rnacentral:rRNA from 1 species
CCCGCUGAACUUAAGCAUAUCAAUAAGCGGAGGAAAAGAAACCAACAGGGAUUGCCCUAGUAACGGCGAGUGAAGCGGCAAAAGCUCAGAUUUGAAAUCUGGCGUCAUCUUUUGGCGUCCGAGUUGUAGUCUGUAGAGGUGUAUUCGAGUGUGGCUUUGGCUUAAGUUCCUUGGAACAGGACGUCAUAGAGGGUGAGAACCCCGUUUACGGCCUUUGUCUUAUGCUCAUGUGAAUCUCCUUCAACGAGUCGAGUUGUUUGGGAAUGCAGCUCUAAAUGGGUGGUAAAUUCCAUCUAAAGCUAAAUACUGGCAAGAGACCGAUAGCGCACAAGUAGAGUGAUCGAAAGAUGAAAAGAACUCUGAACAGAGAGUUAAAUAGUACGUGAAAUUGUUGAAAGGGAAGCACUUCCGACCAGACGCACUUGCAGCCGAUCAAUUCUCAUUCUUGGGAGUGCACUCGGUUGUCUGUGGGUCAGCAUCAGUUCGGGCGGUCGGAUAAAGGCUUUGGGAAUGUAGCUCCUCUCGGGGAGUGUUAUAGCCCGUUGCGAAAUGCGGCCAGCCUGGACCGAGGUCCGCGCUUCGGCUAGGAUGCUGGCGUAAUGGUUGUAAGCGGCCCGUCUUGAAACACGG